rnacentral:rRNA from 1 species
CCUACGGGUGGCAGCAGUGGGGAAUAUUGGACAAUGGGCGAAAGCCUGAUCCAGCCAUGCCGCGUGUGUGAAGAAGGCCUUCGGGUUGUAAAGCACUUUCAGUGGGGAAGAAAGCCUUGGGGCUAAUACCCUCGAGGAAGGACAUCACCCACAGAAGAAGCACCGGCUAACUUCGUGCCAGCAGCCGCGGUAAUACGGAGGGUGCGAGCGUUAAUCGGAAUUACUGGGCGUAAAGCGCGCGUAGGCGGUCUGAUAAGCCGGUUGUGAAAGCCCCGGGCUCAACCUGGGAACGGCAUCCGGAACUGUCAGGCUAGAGUGCAGGAGAGGAAGGUAGAAUUCCCGGUGUAGCGGUGAAAUGCGUAGAGAUCGGGAGGAAUACCAGUGGCGAAGGCGGCCUUCUGGACUGACACUGACGCUGAGGUGCGAAAGCGUGGGUAGCAAACAGGAUUAGAUACCCUAGUAGUC